GACCUCUUUCGGUAGGAACGAUUGUGACGGUACCUACAGACAGAAGCACCGUCCAACUAUGUGCCAGCAGCCGCGGUGAUACAUAGGGUGCAAGCGUUAUUCGGAUUUAUUGGGCGUAAAGAGCUCGUAGGCGGUUCGAUUAGUCGGGUGUGAAACCCCCAGGCUUAACCUGAGGCAGCCACCCGAAACUGUCGUGACUAGAGUUUGGUAGGGGAUCACGGAAUUCCUGGUGUAGCGGUGGAAUGCGCAGAUAUCAGGAGGAACACCAGCAGCGAAGGCGGUGAUCUGGGCCAAUACUGACGCUGAGGAGCGAAAGCGUGGGGAGCGAACAGGAUUAGAUACCCUGGUAGUCCAAGCCGUAAACGGUGGGCACUAGGUGUGGGGACUUUUCAACGGUUUCCGCGCCGCAGCUAACGCAUUAAGUGCCCCGACUGAGGAGUACGGCCGCAAAGGCUAAAACUCAAAGAAAUUGACGGGGGCCCGCACAAGCGGUGGAGCAUGCGGCUUAAUUCGAUGCAAUGUGAAGAACGUUACUAAGUUUGACAUGUCGGGAAAAUCCAUAGAGAUAUGGGGUGCUUCGGAGUC
rnacentral:rRNA from 1 species